GGAGGAAAAGAAACUAACAAGGAUUCCCCUAGUAACGGCGAGUGAAGCGGGAAGAGCUCAAAUUUGUAAUCUGGCACUUUCAGUGUCCGAGUUGUAAUCUCGAGAAGUAUUUUCCGCGCCGGACUGCAUACAAGUCUGUUGGAAUACAGCGUCAUAGUGGUGAGAACCCCGUAACUGAUGCAGAUGCCCGGUGCUUUGUGAUAUACUUUCGAAGAGUCGAGUUGUUUGGGAAUGCAGCUCAAAUUGGGUGGUAAAUUCCAUCUAAAGCUAAAUAUUGGAGCAAGACCGAUAGCGAACAAGUACCGUGAGGGAAAGAUGAAAAGCACUUUGGAAAGAGAGUUAACAGUACGUGAAAUUGUUGGAAGGGAAACGCUUGAAGUCAGACUUGCUAUUCGGAGUUCAGCCGCAAGGUGUAUUCUUCGAUUUGCAGGCCAGCAUCAGUUUUCGGGGGUGGAAAAUCGUGGUUUGAAGGUAGCAACUUCGGUUGUGUUAUAGCUUUCCACUGGAUUCAUCUUUGGGGACUGAGGAACGCAGUACGCUUUUUGCAAGGCCCUCGGGCUUUUCGUACUUAGGAUGCUGGUGGAAUGGCUUUAAACGACCCGUCUUG
rnacentral:rRNA from 1 species